AUUGAACGCUGGCGGCAGGCCUAACACAUGCAAGUCGAACGGUAACAGGAAGAAGCUUGCUUCUUUGCUGACGAGUGGCGGACGGGUGAGUAAUGUCUGGGAAACUGCCUGAUGGAGGGGGAUAACUACUGGAAACGGUAGCUAAUACCGCAUAACGUCGCAAGACCAAAGAGGGGGACCUUCGUGCCUCUUGCCAUCGGAUGUGCCCAGAUGGGAUUAGCUAGUAGGUGGGGUAACGGCUCACCUAGGCGACGAUCCCUAGCUGGUCUGAGAGGAUGACCAGCCACACUGGAACUGAGACACGGUCCAGACUCCUACGGGAGGCAGCAGUGGGGAAUAUUGCACAAUGGGCGCAAGCCUGAUGCAGCCAUGCCGCGUGUAUGAAGAAGACCUUCGGGUUGUAAAGUACUUUCAGCGGGGAGGAAGGGAGUAAAGUUAAUACCUUUGCUCAUUGACGUUACCCGCAGAAGAAGCACCGGCUAACUCCGUG
rnacentral:rRNA from 1 species